rnacentral:rRNA from 1 species
AACGUAGGAGACGAACGUUAUCCGGAGUUACUGGGCGUAAAGGGCGUGUAGGCGGUUUGUUAAGUCUGGCGUGAAAGCUCUCGGCUAAACCGGGAGAGGUCGUUGGAUACUGGCAAACUUGAGGAUGGUAGAGGCGUGUGGAAUUCCGGGUGUAGUGGUGAAAUGCGCAGAUAUCAGGAAGAACACCGAUGGCGAAGGCAGCUCUCUGGGACGGUACUGACGCUGAGACGCGAAAGCGUGGGGAGCGAACAGG